rnacentral:rRNA from 1 species
GCACUUUCAGUCGUGAGGAAGGUAGUGUAGUUAAUAGCUGCAUUAUUUGACGUUAGCGACAGAAGAAGCACCGGCUAACUCCGUGCCAGCAGCCGCGGUAAUACGGAGGGUGCGAGCGUUAAUCGGAAUUACUGGGCGUAAAGCGCAUGCAGGUGGUUUGUUAAGUUCAGAUGUGAAAGACCCGGGGCGUCAACCUCGGAAUAGCAUUUGAAACUAGGCAGACUAGAGUACUGUAGAGGGGGGUAGGAAUUUCAGGUGUAGCGGUGAAAUGCGUAGAGAUCUGAAGGAAUACCGGUGGCGAAGGCGGCCCCCUCGGACAGAUACUGACACUCAGAUGCGAAAGCGUGGGGAGCAAACAGGAUUAGAUACCCCUGGUAG